rnacentral:lncRNA from 1 species
CAGCAACAGAAGAACUGCAGAGGCAAGAAGACGAGCAAAAAUGAGGCGUGGCGUGCUUCAGUUCGGCAGAUCUGAGAGAAUGAUUGACGUGAGGAUCUGGCGUAAAAGGAGGCGGGGCGAGCAAUGAUGCAAAUCAUGUUAUGUUGAUGUAGAUUCUCGCGGUCUCAGCACACGCGAAGCCGCUGCUCCAGCUGAUCGAGAAGUGCUGAGGACAACGUAAGCCAGAUCCAUCUCGUUGAGAUUGUGUGUAUCCAUGCAUGUUUGAAGAGGUUUGGGAUCAGAAUGGAUGUGGAGGAGACUGGAGCAGGUCAGAUGGAGGCAGCGGCCGCAGAGGAAGAGGUACCAGCUCCCAAACGCGGGAGAGGACGACCUCGCAAACAACCACAGGAGCCUGUUGAAACCUCUGCUCCCAGGAGGCCGAGAGGAAGGCCGAGAGGCAGUAAAAAUAAAGGCCAGCGGGUCACAGCCAAAGUAGAGCAACCUAGAGUACGGAGACCUCGAGGUAGACCAAGAAAAUGGCCUCAGAAGACCAUUCAUCAGGAAGAACAGCAGCCUCAUCCUGCGGUUCAAGGGAUGGAGUCAACAGAGGAGCCCCCCAUUCAGACUCUGCCCACUGAGCUACCAUCGCAGGAGAGUGACUAAAACUACCUCAGUGUUGACUUUGAUACUACGUCAGGGGUGUUUGGACUCUCAUUCUGACGGCACCCAUUCACUGCAGAGGAUCCAUUGGUGAGUAAGUGAUGACAUUUUCAAUUACUCCAAAUCUGUUCCCAUGAAAAACAAACUCUACAUCUUGGAUGGCCUGAGGGUGAGUCAAGUUUCAGCUUAUUUUUCAUUUUGGAGUGAAAUAUUCCUUUAACACUUCGGGCUGUAACUUUGGCUUAAGAAAUGAAUAACUACAAAAGCAGCAAUUAACCCAAUGUUUUACAUUAGAUUUUUUUAGUGUAUUAUAUCGUACCAAAAGUUCAUGCA